GACGAACGCUGGCGGCGUGCUUAACACAUGCAAGUCGAACGGAAAGGCCCUGCUUUUGUGGGGUGCUCGAGUGGCGAACGGGUGAGUAACACGUGAGUAACCUGCCCUUGACUUUGGGAUAACUUCAGGAAACUGGGGCUAAUACCGGAUAGGAGCUCCUGCUGCAUGGUGGGGGUUGGAAAGUUUCGGCGGUUGGGGAUGGACUCGCGGCUUAUCAGCUUGUUGGUGGGGUAGUGGCUUACCAAGGCUUUGACGGGUAGGCGGCCUGAGAGGGUGACCGGCCACAUUGGGACUGAGAUACGGACCAGACGCCUACGGGAGGCAGCAGUGGGGAAUAUUGCACAAUGGGCGGAAGCCUGAUGCAGCAACGCCGCGUGCGGGAUGACGGCCUUCGGGUUGUAAACCGCUUUCGCCUGUGACGAAGCGUGAGUGACGGUAAUGGGUAAAGAAGCACCGGCUAACUACGUG
rnacentral:rRNA from 1 species